UCCAGAUACUGAUGAAUAGGACCAAGAACAGACAAAAACAAAGCUCAGAGUUAUUUUCUGGUUUCUAACCUUUAGGACCUCUUCCCUCAUUGAUAGUGUUCCCCUGAAUCCCUAGGCCCUCUUAAUGACUUCACAAGUUCUUUGCUUUCAAAAUGAGGAAGAAUAUGAAAAUACUUGCUGACAGACUUAAAAC